rnacentral:misc_RNA from 1 species
GAUGAAGAACGUAGCGAAAUGCGAUAAGUAAUGUGAAUUGCAGAAUUCAGUGAAUCAUCGAGUCUUUGAACGCACAUUGCGCCCCUUGGUAUUCCGGGGGGCAUGCCUGUCCGAGCGUCAUUACUGCCCUCAAGCACGGCUUGUGUGUUGGGCCUCCGUCCUCCUCCCGGGGGACGGGCCCGAAAGGCAGCGGCGGCACCGCGUCCGGUCCUCGAGCGUAUGGGGCUUCGUCACCCGCUCUUGUAGGCCCGGCCGGCGCUUGCCGACACAUCAAUCUUUUUUCCAGGUUGACCUCGGAUCAGGUAGGGAUACCCGCUGAACUUAAGCAUAUCAAUAAGCGGAGGA